rnacentral:rRNA from 1 species
AGAGCUCGUAGGCGGUUUGUCGCGUCUGCCGUGAAAGUCCGGGGCUCAACUCCGGAUCUGCGGUGGGUACGGGCAGACUAGAGUGAUGUAGGGGAGACUGGAAUUCCUGGUGUAGCGGUGAAAUGCGCAGAUAUCAGGAGGAACACCGAUGGCGAAGGCAGGUCUCUGGGCAUUAACUGACGCUGAGGAGCGAAAGCAUGGGGAGCGAACAGGAUUAGAUACCCUGGUAGUCCAUGCCGUAAACGUUGGGCACUAGGUGUGGGGGACAUUCCACGUUUUCCGCGCCGUAGCUAACGCAUUAAGUGCCCCGCCUGGGGAGUACGGCCGCAAGGCUAAAACUCAAAGGAAUUGACGGGGGCCCGCACAAGCGGCGGAGCAUGCGGAUUAAUUCGAUGCAACGCGAAGAACCUUACCAAGGCUUGACAUGGACUGGAAAUACCUGGAAACAGGUGCCCCGCUUGCGGUCGGUUCACAGGUGGUGCAUGGUUGUCGUCAGCUCGUGUCGUGAGAUGUUGGGUUAAGUCCCGCAACGAGCGCAACCCUCGUUCUAUGUUGCCAGCGCGUGAUGGCGGGGACUCAUAGGAGACUGCCGGGGUCAACUCGGAGGAAGGUGGGGACGACGUCAAAUCAUCAUGCCCCUUAUGUCUUGGGCUUCACGCAUGCUACAAUGGCCGGUACAAAGGGUUGCGAUACUGUGAGGUGGAGCUAAUCCCAAAAAGCCGGUCUCAGUUCGGAUUGGGGUCUGCAACUCGACCCCAUGAAGUCGGAGUCGCUAGUAAUCGCAGAUCAGCAACGCUGCGGUGAAUACGUUCCCGGGCCUUGUACACACCGCCCGUCAAGUCACGAAAGUUGGUAACACCCGAAGCCGGUGGCUAACCCCCUUGUGGGGAGGGAGCUGUCGAAGUGGGACUGGCGAUUGGGACGAAGUCGUACAGGGUAA